UGGUCCCGUCAGGGGAAAAUAAAUUGUUAACAUUCUAUUGGGACACCCUGUACAGUCGCAGUCUUGUGAUCCCGUAGGAUGCACAUUUCAGUCUAACGUCUCGAGGGACAUACAUUUCAGUCUAGUGUUCUGCAGAAACACAUAUCAGUCUAAUGCCCCCGAAGGGUGCAGAAUAAUUGGUGAUCCCGUGGGACACCUACAAGGCACACGGUUCAGAAUAAUUGGUGAUCCCAAUAAAAGCUAACAAUUUUUCCCCUCAGUCCAUUCUAAACUUUUAAACAAUCAUUCACGGUUCAGUUAAAUAUUCUCAUUUCAUAAACUCUUCACUUGGUACCUAACAAUCAUCUUAUUGGAAUUUAACUCAAGGCCGGUCAGAAGCACGUCAAUACAUCAGUGAACAAUAAAACAAUCAUAACAUCCACUUUAGUCUACAAGGACACAAACACGACCUUUCCUCAAUUCACAGAAACACAAUCAUAACCAUAUAUCAUAUAUUCAGUCAAACGACAAUCUACCAGUUUCACCCUACAUUUAAUCAAGAAACAUCUAUAACUUUCAGUCAUUCAACAUCCAUAUGUGUAAAAAUACAUAUUCAGUCAGUCACAUCCAGUCAGUCACAGCAUGCACUCAAUACCAAGUCCACAUCAUUCCACACAUAAAUAUAUAUCUGUCUUUCCCAGUUAAACACAAUAUACACUAAAUUCCAAUUUAACCAUACAGUCCAACAUAACUCAAAAUUGUCGGUGAGUCCAGUAGAAAGUCCCUUACCUCAAAGUUAGGGAAGCUCCUUAAUCAAGUAACGUCCACGAAACAUAACAUGCUGUUGCUUUUGUAUGAAAUAUGAUUUAUUUUUCUUCACAUUUUUUCUAAUUUUUUAAUUAUGUCAUUAAACAUAACAUCUUGUAUUUUUGUUCCUUGCAACGAUAAAAACAAUUAUUCAAAUUAAAAUCAUAUAAUUGAAGAAAAAAAAUACUAAGGAUUGAAUGUUUAUUUUUCGCAAAACCAUCACUUUAAUUCUCCAUGAUUUGUUGAAAUGCUUCAACUCUCUAAUCAAACAGUAGUAUUCAAAUGAUAUUUUUUAAAUUAAUACACUUCUAAAUAUAUAAGAUUUUAAAUUAGGAUUUUCAAAAGAAAUGUUGUGAACUUUGUUUUUUGGUUAUUGCAUACAAAAGAAAUUGGAUUGUAGAGUUAAUUGAAAAGUCAACUUUACUUGCACAAUGAAUUUUAAUCAUUAAAUAUCAUUAGAAUCAAUCGAUAUGUUUCAAAAACCGAAAAUUAAAAAUAAUUAGGAAUCGAUAAUGUAUUUCAACCACGUUAUUUAAAUGCAAAUUGAUUUAAAAUUACUCUUAAAUAAAUUUCAUUCCACUAUGAAUUGAAGUAAUUAAUAUUCUAAAUAAUUUAAAAAUACAAUAUUGGUAUCAACUUCUUUUAUAUAUACUAUGUAUAUAUUUUAUAUAUCAAUAUUAUCUCACACAUUAAUCAACUUCCCUCUUUUUUUUGUUUGAUGCAAUUCAACUUUAUAUUAAGUAACAAAACUUUUGCUAAAAAAAAUUUAAAAUUGAAAGUCAUAGAUUGAUAAUAUUCUAAUAGAUUGAUGGGUUGAUAAUAUUCUAAUUUUCUCCAUUUUAAGUCUCUUCCAUUAAAUUCAUUCUGAUUUUUUCUUUUUUUUGCCAUAUUCCAAAUGUUUUUUUAUUGAAAAAAUUGUGAAUUAAAGUCAAAUUCACUACAACAUUGACAUAGAGUUGUAUUCCAAACUUCAUUUUAAUCAAACGUAAUUAAUUUCCAUUUUAAUGGGAGUCAAAGUCAAGAACAAAAUCACUUGUAUCUUUGAUUUCAACUUAUCAUUUUCAAGAUUCAUCCACUCAUUCUCAUGUACAAAUCUCAAAAAAUGGGCAUUUGUUGAGUAAGAAAUUUUUGCUAAUUAAAUUUUGCCACGUUAUCACGUCAAACAUUGUGAUAUUUAUAAUUUGAUUGAAUUUUGGUAAUUAAGUUUUACCAUACCCAACCCAAUUCAAACCUUAGAUAUAAAAAUAAAGCCAAAAAGGAUGAUGAGCUCAAGUCCAAGUCUAGUAGGAAAAUGGACCCAAGUCCAAGUCCAACAAUUAUUAAGCGGAAGCAAAUUUAAAAUAACCCAUAUGGAAAUCACGCUUUCUUCCUGCCCCUCGUCGGUUUGCCGUCUUUAUUACCUUUGCCUGAAAAUUAAACAUAAGGAGGGUGAGUAUAAAAAUACCCAGUAAGAGACCCUGGUCCCGUCAGGGGAAAAUAAAUUGUUAACAUUCUAUUGGGACACCCUGUAGAGUCGCAGUCUUGUGAUCCCGUAGGAUGCACAUUUCAGUCUAACGCCGCCGAGGGACGUACAUUUCAGUCUAGUGUUUUGCAGAAAACACAUAUCAGUCUAAUGCUCCCGAAGGUGCAGAAUAAUUGGUGAUCCCGUGAGACACCUACAAGGCACACAUCCCAAUAAAAGCUAACAAUUUUUCCCCUCGGUCCAUUCUAAACAUCUUAGCAAUCAUUCACAGAUCAGUUAAACAUUCUCAUCACGUAAACUUCUUAUUUAACCUCAAACAGUCGUCUUACUCUAAAUUAGCCCAAGGUCGGUAAAAAGCAUAUCAUUACAUCAAUUAACAAGCUAAACAAUCAUAACCUCCUCCUCAGUCACCAAGGGCACAACCAUGACGUUUCUUCCGUUCACAAGCACACAACAUAACAAUAGAUUAUACAUUCAGUCUAGACAACAAUCAAUCUACUAAUCAAAUCCACACUUUAUAUAAGCAACAUCUACGAGAUUCAGUCGUUUCCACAUCCCUUAUCUUUGUACAACAUACAUAACCAGACAGUCACAACAUAUACUCAACCACAGUCCACAUCAACACCCAUGCACAUAUAUGUAUUAAUUUCUCCCGGUCAAACACAGCAAACAUUAAACUUUAAGUCAAUGUCCAAACAUACAUCAUAAAAAUCAUCUCUACUCAGUUCAAAUAUAAUAAUACGGUCCAUACAGUCAAUACAUC
rnacentral:lncRNA from 1 species